AAUUUAUUUUGGACGGAUCAGAUUAAAUCUGAAAACAAUAUUCCUUUUCAUUUUCUCUAUUUAAGAAUCUUCAUCUCUUUGUCUACAAGGAAAGAAAACAAGAACAAAAAGCAAACAGUGACCCAUUUCUCAUCUUCAAUUUCUUCAUCCAUCUCUCUCACGCGAAACCCACGCCUCGCUUAUAAUCACCAAACUUUACUUUCUCACGCGAUACCCACCGUCUUCCACCUGCUAACACAAAAACGAGACCCAUACACCCAAACUUCCGAACAGCUUCCACCACAGUCCGUGAACCCACUGUCUUCAGUCUUCACCAUCUCGUUCCACCCUUCAAUCCGCUUCAAAUACUCCCUCAAUCAUCACCGUCAACCACUCACCUUCAUCGACUCAUCCCUUCAUCUCUUAUGUGACCAUUCUUCUCAUCCUCAAUCAUCAUCGUAA